UGCUGAGUUAAUGAAUUGUAGCAACAAUAUUAGUACUAAUUUGACAAAUUGUUUUAACAACAUAAAAAUAAAUCAUUUUUCGGAAAUGGCAGUGGAGAAGUUUGAAAUGACUGAAAUGGAGAAUAAAGCUGGAGGAAAUAAACGAUUUCCAUGGACAUUGUGGUUUUGUGUCAUUACAGCUGAUCUGCUCAACGUUACCACGGGCCUCUCAAUGGUUUGGCCAUCAGCAGUGCUCGAAAUGCUACAUUCCACUGACCCCGAGGUAAAUCCUUUGCCAGAACCACUUAAACCUAUGGAACUUUCAAUAAUGAUGGCAUCAUCAGGAGUGGCAUCUUUAAUAAGUUUCUUCGUGAUGGCGAAAAUUUCAGAUCGAAUAGGAAGAAGACUCAGCAUGAGAUACCUAGGAAUUGUAUACGCCGGAACAUUUGUCGCGAUGGGAUAUGGAAGACGUGUAUAUGUUUAUGUUAUAACGUUUUUUAUAAAUGGGCUUGCAGCUGCUGGAAUCUUUAUAAACGUAUCUAUAUACACCGGGGAAAUUUCUGAUGACCGAAAUAGGGCUUUGAUAGGUUGCUUAUUCGGUCUUAUGACUCCUGUUGGAAACUUCUUGGGCUAUUCUUUUGCUGCCAUUUUAAAUAGCGUAAAGUUGUUUAGCCUUAUCUGCACAAUACCCGCAAUAGUACACGUUGUAUUAACGUUUUUUAUAGUUGAAUCGCCUACAUUUCUAGUAGGAAAGAACAAAAAGGACGAAGCUAUAUUAGUAAUAAAGAAGCUUAGACAUUAUACUAAUAUCAGUGAUGCUGAGAAGGAAUAUGAAAACAUUGUAAACUUUAAUUCUAGUUCUAAUAAGGAACAAAAAACAAUAUCAGAUCUUGUUCAUAAUCCAAUAUCGCGAAGAGCGUUAUUGUUGGGAUUUACAUUAUUAAGCGCACAACAAUUCACUGGUACUAACACAAUUAUAAAUUAUGUAGUCCCAAUCUUUAACGAAGCAGGAGCUUCCUUAUCCGGUACCGUAAUAAGUAUUUUGCUCGGUUUGGCUCAAAUGGUGGUAACAAUUGUAGCCACAUCAACUGUACACAAAUUUGGACGAAGACCACUGCUCCUACUAUCUUCUUGUAUGUGCACAGUAUUGCUGUUUUGUUUAACAUUUUACUUUUAUAUAAAAGACGUAAAUGUAUCCAUUAUAGAUAAUAUCCGUUGGUUACCAAUAGUCUGCGUGAUAACGUUCUUCGUGGGUUAUGGUUUAGGGUUAGCUCCGAUACCAGUCGUUUUAGUAGGAGAGUUAUUCCGCAAUGAAAUUAGAGCUGUGGCUUUAGCAGUAGUUGUCGUUGCUCAAUGUACACUAACAAUUAUUAUUAGUUUCGGUUUUCCAAUAGUCUCAGAGUCCUUAGGAAUUUAUACUUGCUUUUUGGUAUUUAGUAUUGGAACUCUUGUUUGUUUGGUUUUGAUAUACCGGUACGUACCCGAAACUAGAGGCAAAAGUUUUCAAGAGAUUCAGGAUAUUCUUAGUGGACUCGUUAAGUCGUGAUUGCACAGAGUAAAAAAAUUUAAAAUUUUGUAACUUUAAAUAACUGUAAAAAGCAAUAUCCCAGAGGACGGUAGUUCUCGCCAGUGGCGUACACCUCCCUAUAUGCAACACUAUAUAUACUGUCAACCAGACCGAAUUGAAAAAUGGGCCAAAUCCCAUCUUAAAGCUUAGUAGUAGACCAGCCAGUAUAGUCAUUCAUCUAGAGUGGUCUAAGGCUGUGAAUUUUAGGGCCCUCUGCAUUUGGAGUCCGUUUUUCGUUCUCGUCUCCAAAAUUCCACAAAAAUUUCUGAUGAUCGAAAUAGGGCUUUUAAUAGGUUACUUAUUCGGUCUGACGACUCCUGUUGGAAACCUUUUUGGCUAUUCGUUUGCUGCCUUCGUAAAUAGUGUAAAGGUGUUUAGUCUUAUCUGCACAAUACCCGCAAUAUUACACGUUCUGUUCACUUGUUUUAUUGUUGAAUCGCCUACAUUACUAGUAGGAAAGAACAGAAAGGACAGAGCUAUACAGGGUGUUAAAAUUCUGUCCAUUGCGAAUUUCUAGAACUGGUCAUAGGCGUCCGUUUUGGGUAUGGCAACGGAUAUUUUAUCGCAUAACUUUUUCGCCUUCAACUUUUAAGCACUUUUGAUACUGGAUUAUUAAAUUGUAAGCUAUUCUAGUACUAAAAGGUACUCUUGCUUUAAGUCGGUAGGACACACCGUUUUCUA
rnacentral:misc_RNA from 1 species